UGUUAUGGCAGCUGUGCGUGGGACGCCUUCAGGCGUGCCGGUUCUGUGGUCUCCGGUUUUCCAACCUGCGCACAGCCGCCACCUAU
rnacentral:antisense_RNA from 2 species